rnacentral:rRNA from 1 species
CAGUCGCCACGGGAAUACGGAGGGUGCAAGCGUUAAUCGGAAUUACUGGGCGUAAAGCGCACGCAGGCGGUCUGACAAGUCAGAUGUGAAAUCCCCGGGCUUAACCUGGGAACUGCAUUUGAAACUGUCAGGCUGGAGUCUUGUAGAGGGGGGUGGAAUUCCAGGUGUAGCGGUGAAAUGCGUAGAGAUCUGGAGGAAUACCGGUGGCGAAGGCGGCCCCCUGGACAAAGACUGACGCUCAGGUGCGAAAGCGUGGGGAGCAAACAGGAUUAGAUACCCGCUAGUCCCUGUCUCUUAUACA